AUCAUCAUUUCCACAAUAUCACAGUGGUUAUACAAGUGAGUCCUGUUCAGCGUGGAAGGAAAUAACACAAGAGGCAAAGAUCACUGGGGACCAUCUUGUAUAUUGGCUACCACAGAACCCAACACAAGCAGCUGUGGUCUCUCUGCCUCUCUCUGGAACACAGGAGGAACUUUGCUACUGCCUUGACCGACAGAAUACGGGGGAAGCGACAUUGUGUGAAUUACAAGCAGGGUGACUAACACACCAUCAGAGUGGCAGGAAAUUGGAGAAUCACUACGACAGUCACCUAGCCUGGCUGGCAGCAUUGAAAGAACAAACAAGUGCCUCCAGAAUUAAGGAAUUAAGGAGAAAAGCAGCCCUGACUUCAGAGGGUACAUCUUCCAUAAAGACCGUGCCCUGAGCUCACCAUUCCUCUUUCUGAGAGAGCUGAGGCAGUUCUUCCUUCAGGGGAGCAACCAUUGUUCUAGGCUCAAAGCAAGUCUGAGAGAGACGCACACGUGUGGGAUUCUAGGACCUUGACCCUCCACCACAAACAGAGGCACUCACCUCUGCAUUCUGGGAAACGACAGUCUGUGUGUCAGCCAGAUAAACACUUAAGUUCAGGGGCAUCUGACAAACAGCUGUCCCCACCGACCUUGUUUUGUUGGUCCCAUUUUCACAACUGCUGAUGUGGCUUCCUGAGUUCCUGGCCACUUGAAUAAACAACCAAGAGCAGCAGCCUCGACGCCCGCAGGACCCUGCGCAGGCCGCGCUGGGCAGCUGUCCAUCAGCACCCCUGUGCACACAGACAGCAGGCAGCAGACCAGCGCCCUGGACAGCUGGUACCGACGCCCUCCAUCUGUCUGUCUGUCCCCAGGGCUGGGUGGACAGGGAAAUCUCUUUACAGUGCAGACAGCGGAGCCUGGUGCUGAGACCAUCUGACCUGAUCUUGAAAGGACUGCAUUCUCCUGCCACUCUCUGGCAGAUUCCAGCUUGGGGCCUGUUUUCUGGAGCUAGCUGUCACAUGAACCCCAGCCUGCUGGCUGGGAGAUCCAGCCAGGUCAGUUUUAUGGCCAAGAGAGCAACCAGUUUUAUGGCCAAGAGAGCAACCAGUUACUAUCUCAAGCUGGAGAAAAUGGAUUAUCUUUAGUCCUUCUGUGCAAAACUAAAACCAAAAUGUUUCUGUUUUUGGUUUGGGAGUGAUGCAUCUGGGCAGAGGGGUGGGGUGUUAGACUCAGUCCAUGCCCCUCAUUUUGCAAGGCUGAAACUGAGGCCAAAGGGACUUGCUCAGGGUCACAGAAUUGCAGAAAAGCCCCCAGUCAAACUCAGCGGUCCUGAACCCCAGGCUGUCCUUUCAAUUCCCCAGCCUUUGUUCCAGGUUUCAUCCCCCACAGGGCUGCUUGUCCUCAUCAGUGCACAGUAAUCUGAGGCUCUGCAGGAGGGGGCCGCCUUCUCUUUCAUGCUGUGCUGUUGAGCGUAGACCACAAAACGUGGAAUACCUUGCCCAGGGUUUCUGUCCAGCUUUGCUGUGUAUUUCAAUCUUUUGAGCUUCAGUUUCCAACUCUGGGGAGAAGGGCUAACAAGAGUUAUGAUAUAUGCAUCAGGAGCUUUAAAAUAGUCAUAGCCUUUAACCCAGCGAUUGGACUUCUGGGAAAUUAUCCUGUAAAAGUGAUUGAAAAAGCUUUAUGCUCACAAUGUUCAUUGUGCACAUAAGAAAAAUGAAUCUCCAAAACAGUUUCAAACUCACAAACAGGGCAUGAUCCCAGCUGGGUUAAAAAAAAAAAAAAAAAGGGAAGGAGGCCAGGCGUGGUGGCUCACGCCUGUAAUCCCAGUACUUACGGAGGCUGAGGUGGGUGAGGUCAGGAGUUUGAGAUCAGCCUGGCCAACACGGUGAAACCCCGUCUCUACUUAAAAUACAAAAAUUAGCCGGGCAUAGGGGCGGAUGCCUGUGAUCGCAGCUACUCAGGAGGCUGAGGCAGGAGAAUUGCUUGAACCUGGAGGCGGAGGUUGCAGUGAGCUGAGAUUGUGCCAUUGCACUCCAGCCUGGGCUAUAAGAGCAAGACUCUGUCUCAAAUUAAAAAAAGAAAAAGAAAAAAGAAGGAAGUAAAUAAACAAUACCCAGGGUUGCUCAGGUGAUGGGUUUAUAAAUAAUAGUUUCUUUAUUCUUUUACUGUUUCAAAAUGUUUUACCGUGUAUCUACCAUCAUGCCUCACUUAACAAUGGGAAUAUGUUCUGAGAAAUGCAUGGUUAGGCAGUUUUAUUGUGGUGUGAACAUUGUAGAGUGUACGCAAACUUAGGUGGCGUAGCCUAUUACACGCCCAGGCUCUGUGGUGUAGCUUAUGGCUCUUAGUGUACAAACCUGUACAGCGUGUUACUGUACUGAAUACGGUAGGCAACUGUAGCACAAUGGUAAGCAUUUGUGUCUCUAAAUAUAGAAAAGGUACAGUAAAAAUACAGUGUAAAAGAAAAUAAAAUGUAUACCUUGGCAAGGU